rnacentral:rRNA from 1 species
GACGAACGCUGGCGGCGUGCUUAACACAUGCAAGUCGAACGGAAAGGCCCUGCUUGCCGGGUACUCGAGUGGCGAACGGGUGAGUAACACGUGGGUGAUCUGCCCUGCACUUCGGGAUAAGCCUGGGAAACUGGGUCUAAUACCGGAUAGGAGCCAUUUUUAGUGUGAUGGUUGGAAAGUUUUUUCGGUGUAGGAUGAGCUCGCGGCCUAUCAGCUUGUUGGUGGGGUAAUGGCCUACCAAGGCGGCGACGGGUAGCCGGACUGAGAGGGUGGACGGCCACAUUGGGACUGAGAUACGGCACAGACUCCUACGGGAGGCAGAAGUGGGGAAUAUUGCACAAUGGGCGCAAGCCUGAUGCAGCGACGCCGCGUGGGGGAUGACGGCCUUCGGGUUGUAAACUCCUUUCGCUAGGGACGAAGCUUUUUGUGACGGUACCUAGAUAAGAAGCACCGGCUAACUACGUG